rnacentral:lncRNA from 1 species
AUAAUAUUUUCUGCCCGAAAAAGGAGGAUGCACGUUUGGUGAGGAUUUGGUCAAUAAAUGAGUGGUCGCUUUUGAUUUAUAGGGCAAUCUUAAGCUAAAAUUCUUUUUGAGUUUCUAACUCUCUCAAACUAGAUGGUUCAAGCAACGAGAUGUUAAAGCAAUGUAUUUUCAUACGGAUAUUAACACCUUUGUGAGAGACACACAACAUAUUCACCUAAAACUUUAAGGUGAUAGGUCGGUGGGUUCUCUCACUUAUAAAUGCUCAAGUCUCCAUAUUUUCAACCAAUGUGGGACUAUUACCCAUACUACUCACACUUGAUACAUUCUCAACACCC